AGUCCAAAAAGUCGGAAAAACAAAAAAUCACAUGAAAAGUCGGAAUUGCCCAAAAAUCGAACCGACCGAAAUCGACCACCCACAAUGUUUUUUUCAAUUGUUUGGCUGCAGCGGCUCCGCCGCCGCACAAUCUCUCUCCGGCAUCCAUGUCGUCCGCCACCGCGGCUCCAACGUGCAACCGGUUUUUUCCCAAUUGGUCGGCCAUCGCGCAUCA
rnacentral:lncRNA from 1 species